AACGAACGCUGGCGGCAUGCCUAACACAUGCAAGUCGAACGAGACCUCCGGGUCUAGUGGCGCACGGGUGCGUAACGCGUGGGAACUUGCCCUUAGGUACGGUAUAACUCACCGAAAGGGGUGCUAAUACCGGAUAAUGUCUUCGGACCAAAGAUUUAUCGCCUUUGGAUGGGCCCGCGUUGGAUUAGCUGGUUGGUAGGGUAAAAGCCUACCAAGGCGACGAUCCAUAGCUGGUCUGGGAGGAUGAUCCGCCACACUGGGACUGAGACACGGCCCAGACUCCUACGGGAGGCAGCAGUGGGGAAUAUUGGACGAUGGGCGAAAGCCUGAUCCAGCCAUGCCGCGUGAGUGAUGAAGGCCUUAGGGUUGUGAAGCUCUUUUACCCGGGAUGAUAAUGACAGUACCGGGAGAAUAAGCUCCGGCUAACUCCGUG
rnacentral:rRNA from 1 species